rnacentral:miRNA from 1 species
UGAGUUGAUCAAUCAGGCCAGG